CCCGCUGAACUUAAGCAUAUCAAUAAGCGGAGGAAAAGAAACUAACAAGGAUUCCCCUAGUAACUGCGAGUGAAGCGGGAAAAGCUCAAAUUUGUAAUCUGGCGGUCUUGGGCCGUCCGAAUUGUAAACUAGAGAAGCGUUAUCCGCGCUGGACCGUGUACAAGUCCCCUGGAAUGGGGCGUCAUAGAGGGUGAGAAUCCCGUCUUUGACACGGACUACCAGGGCUUUGUGAUGCGCUCUCAAAGAGUCGAGUUGUUUGGGAAUGCAGCUCAAAAUGGGUGGUAAAUUCCAUCUAAAGCUAAAUAUUGGCGAGAGACCGAUAGCGAACAAGUACCGUGAGGGAAAGAUGAAAAGAACUUUGGAAAGAGAGUUAAACAGUACGUGAAAUUGCUGAAAGGGAAACGCUUGAAGUCAGUCGCGUUGGCUAGGGAUCAGCCUUACUCUGGUGGGGUGUACUUCCUUGUCGACGGGUCAGCAUCAGUUUUGGUUGCUGGAUAAAGGCCAGGGGAAUGUGGCACCUUCGGGUGUGUUAUAGCCCUUGGUCAGAUACAGUGGCUGGGACUGAGGAACUCAGCACGCGCAAGCUGUGCUUAGGAUGCUGGCAAAAUGGCUUUAAUCGACCCGUCUUGAAACACGG
rnacentral:rRNA from 1 species